UACGUAGGGUGCAAGCGUUGUCCGGAAUUAUUGGGCGUAAAGAGCUCGUAGGCGGCGUGUCGCGUCGGCUGUGAAAACCUAGGGCUCAACCCUGGGCCUGCAGCCGAUACGGGCAAGCUAGAAUUCGGUAGGGGAGACUGGAAUUCCUGGUGUAGCGGUGAAAUGCGUAGAUAUCAGGAGGAACACCGGUGGCGAAGGCGGGUCUCUGGGCCGAUAUUGACGCUGAGGAGCGAAAGCGUGGGGAGCGAACAGG
rnacentral:rRNA from 1 species